rnacentral:rRNA from 1 species
UACAGAGGUCUCAAGCGUUGUUCGGAUUCAUUGGGCGUAAAGGGUGUGUAGGUGGCGAUGCAAGUCUGGUGUGAAAUCUCGGAGCUCAACUCCGAAAUUGCACCGGAUACUGCGUGACUCGAGGACUGUAGAGGAGAUCGGAAUUCCCCGGUGUAGCGGUGAAAUGCGCAGAUAUCGGGAGGAACACCAAUGGCGAAGGCAGCUCGCUGGGACGGUACUGACGCUGAGGCGCGAAAGCGUGGGGAGCAAACAGG